GUGGGGAAUUUUGGACAAUGGGGGCAACCCUGAUCCAGCCAUGCCGCGUGCGGGAAGAAGGCCUUCGGGUUGUAAACCGCUUUUGUCAGGGAAGAAAUCCUUUGGGUUAAUACCUCGGAGGGAUGACGGUACCUGAAGAAUAAGCACCGGCUAACUACGUGCCAGCAGCCGCGGUAAUACGUAGGGUGCGAGCGUUAAUCGGAAUUACUGGGCGUAAAGCGUGCGCAGGCGGUUUUGUAAGAUCGAUGUGAAAUCCCCGGGCUCAACCUGGGAACUGCAUUGGUGACUGCAAGGCUGGAGUGCGGCAGAGGGGGAUGGAAUUCCGCGUGUAGCAGUGAAAUGCGUAGAUAUGCGGAGGAACACCGAUGGCGAAGGCAAUCCCCUGGGCCUGCACUGACGCUCAUGCACGAAAGCGUGGGGAGCAAACAGGAUUAGAUACCCGAGUAGUCC
rnacentral:rRNA from 1 species